rnacentral:rRNA from 1 species
CCCUUAGAUGCUCUGGGCCGCACGCGCGCUACACUGGUCGAUGCAACGAGUUUCUUUCCUUGGCCGACAGGCCUGGGCAAUCUUUGAACAUCGAUCGUGAUCGGGAUAGAUUCUUGUAAUUUUUGAUCUUAAACGAGGAAUUCCUAGUAAACGCAAGUCAUCAGCUUGCAUUGAUUACGUCCCUGCCCUUUGUACACACCGCCCGUCGCACCUACCGAUUGAAUGGUCCGGUGAAAUCUCCGGACUGGCGUGAGUCGGAGCAAUCUGACAAACACCGGAAAGUUGAUUAAACCUUACCAUUUAGAGGAAGGUGAAGUCGGAACA